CUCUGUCGCUGAUGAAUUAUUAUACCUACAUUGUUUGAUGUCAAAAUGAGAACAAACUAUACUGAGACUGGG